rnacentral:rRNA from 1 species
UGAGGAAUAUUGGUCAAUGGACGAGAGUCUGAACCAGCCAAGUAGCGUGCAGGAUGACGGCCCUAUGGGUUGUAAACUGCUUUUGUUUGGGAAUAAUCGACAUUACGUGUAAUGUUUUGCAUGUACCAUUCGAAUAAGGACCGGCUAAUUCCGUGCCAGCAGCCGCGGUAAUACGGAAGGUCCAGGCGUUAUCCGGAUUUAUUGGGUUUAAAGGGAGUGUAGGCGGUUGGUUAAGCGUGUUGUGAAAUGUAGAUGCUCAACAUCUGACUUGCAGCGCGAACUGGCUGACUUGAGUACACACAACGUAGGCGGAAUUCGUCGUGUAGCGGUGAAAUGCUUAGAUAUGACGAGGAACUCCGAUUGCGAAGGCAGCUGACGGGAGCGGCACUGACGCUUAAGCUCGAAGGUGCGGGUAUCAAACAGG